GAUGGGAAACAGGUUAAUAUUCCUGUACUUGGUGUUACUGCGAAGGGGGGACGGAGAAGGCUAUGUUGGCCGGGCGACGGUUGUCCCGGUUUAAGCGUGUAGGCUGGUUUUCCAGGCAAAUCCGGAAAAUCAAGGCUGAGGCGUGAUGACGAGGCACUACGGUGCUGAAGCAACAAAUGCCCUGCUUCCAGGAAAAGCCUCUAAGCAUCAGGUAACAUCAAAUCGUACCCCAAACCGACACAGGUGGUCAGGUAGAGAAUACCAAGGCGCUUGAGAGAACUCGGGUGAAGGAACUAGGCAAAAUGGUGCCGUAACUUCGGGAGAAGGCACGCUGAUAUGUAGGUGAAGUCCCUCGCGGAUGGAGCUGAAAUCAGUCGAAGAUACCAGCUGGCUGCAACUGUUUAUUAAAAACACAGCACUGUGCAAACACGAAAGUGGACGUAUACGGUGUGACGCCUGCCCGGUGCCGGAAGGUUAAUUGAUGGGGUCAGCGCAAGCGAAGCUCUUGAUCGAAGCCCCGGUAAACGGCGGCCGUAACUAUAACGGUCCUAAGGUAGCGAAAUUCCUUGUCGGGUAAGUUCCGACCUGCACGAAUGGCGUAAUGAUGGCCAGGCUGUCUCCACCCGAGACUCAGUGAAAUUGAACUCGCUGUGAAGAUGCAGUGUACCCGCGGCAAGACGGAAAGACCCCGUGAACCUUUACUAUAGCUUGACACUGAACAUUGAGCCUUGAUGUGUAGGAUAGGUGGGAGGCUUUGAAGUGUGGACGCCAGUCUGCAUGGAGCCGACCUUGAAAUACCACCCUUUAAUGUUUGAUGUUCUAACGUGGACCCGUGAUCCGGGUUGCGGACAGUGUCUGGUGGGUAGUUUGACUGGGGCGGUCUCCUCCUAAAGAGUAACGGAGGAGCACGAAGGUUGGCUAAUCCUGGUCGGACAUCAGGAGGUUAGUGCAAUGGCAUAAGCCAGCUUGACUGCGAGCGUGACGGCGCGAGCAGGUGCGAAAGCAGGUCAUAGUGAUCCGGUGGUUCUGAAUGGAAGGGCCAUCGCUCAACGGAUAAAAGGUACUCCGGGGAUAACAGGCUGAUACCGCCCAAGAGUUCAUAUCGACGGCGGUGUUUGGCACCUCGAUGUCGGCUCAUCACAUCCUGGGGCUGAAGUAGGUCCCAAGGGUAUGGCUGUUCGCCAUUUAAAGUGGUACGCGAGCUGGGUUUAGAACGUCGUGAGACAGUUCGGUCCCUAUCUGCCGUGGGCGCUGGAGAACUGAGGGGGGCUGCUCCUAGUACGAGAGGACCGGAGUGGACGCAUCACUGGUGUUCGGGUUGUCAUGCCAAUGGCACUGCCCGGUAGCUAAAUGCGGAAGAGAUAAGUGCUGAAAGCAUCUAAGCACGAAACUUGCCCCGAGAUGAGUUCUCCCUGACCCUUUAAGGGUCCUGAAGGAACGUUGAAGACGACGACGUUGAUAGGCCGGGUGUGUAAGCGCAGCGAUGCGUUGAGCUAACCGGUACUAAUGAACCGUGAGGCUUAACCUUACAACGCCGAAGGUGUUU
rnacentral:rRNA from 1 species